GACGAACGCUGGCGGCGUGCUUAACACAUGCAAGUCGAACGAAGCUUGAUUACGGAUUCUUCGGCUGAAGUAUGAUAUGACUGAGUGGCGGACGGGUGAGUAACGCGUGAGUAACCUGCCCUUCAGAGGGGGAUAGCGUUUGGAAACGAACGGUAAUACCGCAUAAUGUAUUUUGACCGCAUGAUCGAAAUACCAAAGAUUUAUCGCUGAAGGAUGGACUCGCGUCUGAUUAGGUAGUUGGUGGGGUAACGGCCUACCAAGCCGACGAUCAGUAGCCGGACUGAGAGGUUGAUCGGCCACAUGGGGACUGAGACACGGCCCAGACUCCUACGGGAGGCAGCAGUGGGGAAUAUUGCACAAUGGGCGCAAGCCUGAUGCAGCAACGCCGCGUGAAGGAAGACGGUUUUCGGAUUGGAAACUUCUGUUCUUAGUGAAGAAUAAUGACGGUAGCUAAGGAGCAAGCCACGGCUAACUACGUG
rnacentral:rRNA from 1 species